rnacentral:rRNA from 1 species
GAGUUUGAUCAUGGCUCAGAGCGAACGCUGGCGGCAGGCCUAACACAUGCAAGUCGAACGGAUCCUUCGGGAUUAGUGGCGGACGGGUGAGUAACACGUGGGAACGUGCCCUUUGGUUCGGAACAACUCAGGGAAACUUGAGCUAAUACCGGAUGUGCCCUUUGGGGGAAAGAUUUAUCGCCAUUGGAGCGGCCCGCGUUGGAUUAGGUAGUUGGUGGGGUAACGGCCUACCAAGCCUACGAUCCAUAGCUGGUCUGAGAGGAUGAUCAGCCACACUGGGACUGAGACACGGCCCAGACUCCUACGGGAGGCAGCAGUGGGGAAUCUUGCGCAAUGGGCGAAGCCUGACGCAGCCAUGCCGCGUGUAUGAUGAAGGUCUUAGGAUUGUAAAAUACUUUCACCGGGGAAGAUAAUGACGGUACCCGGAGAAGAAGCCCCGGCUAACUUCGUGCCAGCAGCCGCGGUA